GGAGGGGAAUGGCGAGCGGAGUCGCCGGACGGCCACGGGCCGCCAUCCGCCUCCAUCCGAAGCGGGGCGGGCGCCGGCUGCGGCCGGGAGCGGGGCGCGCAGGAGUGAGUCCCAAGCCGGGUUGAUGGAGGGACUCUUGGCCGCGGUUGUCGUGGGUCCUUUGGCCGGGCCCGCCCUGCCCCGCCGGGCCCCGCCGGACUACGAUCCCCAGGAGGCCGCGCGGCAUCGCCCAAGUCUUCUCGGGCUGUUGGAGAACGGGGCGCUGCCGUGCAUUUCCACGUUCGGCUCGUUUUAGCUGCCCGUUUGGAGCCGAGGCGCUUUCCGCCGGCAGCUGGCCACGUGGCGGGGGGGCAGAGAACGCGGUGUGGACUAGCGGCUUGAUCGCCCCUUUGAAAACGAAGCUCAGAACGCUUAGAAGCCACGCGUUAGCUUUGGCUGCAUGAAAAGGAUCUACUCCCAUCUGUCCUCGCCAUGGUGCUUGCCCAGUUGAAGGGACAACCAGUGAGGUGCCCCCAGGAUGCUUUGGACACAAAUUACCAUCAUCCCCAGCCAUUAUGGCCGCUUCUGAGGCUCCUUUGGAUCUUCUCUGGAUCUCAAAUCUACCAAUUCUUCUACUGGGCUCCCACAGUUGCCUCCUUACAGCCCUGGAAGGCAGCGUGAGUUAGUUCAGGUUACAUCUAGCAGUCUGGAGUGAGGAUGGAGCGGGCCUUCGCCGAGGAGCCAUUUCUCACCCGUUUCUGAGACGGUUCAUUGUCCAAUCCAGCUCUGAAGCUUUGUUUCUCUCUUCCGGCAUGGUCAAAGAAGCCAUCACCUCUUCCCCACUACAUCAGCCCGUCCCACCCGGUCGUGCGGAGAGGGCCUGCUGCGGACCCCGUCGGUAAGAGAAUUCCAUCUGGCGGGGUCCAGG